rnacentral:rRNA from 1 species
AUGCCAUGGAGACCAAGGACCAGAGGGGAAACCCUUCUCCCAUCUAGGGAGGAGGUCAAGGAAGAAGAAGAAGAAGAAGAAGAAGAAGAAGAAGGGGGCCCUCUCCCCCACUCUUCCGGUGGCGCCGGAACACCGCCGGGGCCAUCAUCAUCACCGCCAUCUACACCAACAACUUCACCGCCAUCAUCACCAACUCUUCCACCCUCUAUGCAGCGGUGUAACCUCUCUCUUACCCGUCGUAAUCUCGACUUUAACAUGGUGCUAAACGCUAUAUAUUAUUUCCCAAUGAUGUAUGGCUAUCCUAUGAUGUUUGAGUAG